UACGGGGGGGGGCAAGCGUUGUUCGGAAUUACUGGGCGUAAAGGGCCAGUAGGCGGCCAACUAAGUCGGAUGUGAAAUCCCCAGGCUUAACCUGGGAACUGCAUCCGAUACUGGAUGGCUUGAAUUCGGGAGAGGGAUGCAGAAUUCCAGGUGUAGCGGUGAAAUGCGUAGAUAUCUGGAGGAAUCACCGGUGGCGAAGGCGGCAUCCUGGACCGACACUGACGCUGAGGAGCGAAAGCCAGGGGAGCAAACGGG
rnacentral:rRNA from 1 species